CCUACGGGUGGCAGCAGUGGGGGAUAUUGCACAAUGGGGGAAACCCUGAUGCAGCGAAGCCGCGUGAGUGAAGAAGGCUUUCGGUAUGUAAAGCUCUAUCAGCAGGGAAGAAAAUGACAGUACCUGUCCACGCAGCCACGGCUAACUACGUGCCAGCAGCCGCGGUAAUACGUAGGGGGCACGCGUUCUCCGGCUUUACUGGGUGUAAAGGGGGCGUAGACGGGUAUGUAAGUCUGGAGUGAAAGCGCGGGGCCCAACCCCGGGACUGCUUUGGAAACUGUGUAACUGGAGUACAGGAGGGGAAGGCGGAAUGCCUGGUGUAGCGGUGAAAUGCGUAGAUAUCAGGAGGAACACCGGCGGCGAAGGCGGCCUGCUGGACUGAAACUGACGUUGAGGCUCGAAAGCGUGGGGAGCAAACAGGAUUAGAUACCCCUGUAGUC
rnacentral:rRNA from 1 species